rnacentral:rRNA from 1 species
UAGUCAUAUGCUUGUUUUAAAGAUUAAGCCAUGCAUGUGUAAGUAUAGAGCAUUUCUAGCUUGAAACUGCGAACGGCUCAUUAAAUCAGUUAUAAUCUACUUGGUUGUCAAAAUCUACUAGGAUAACCGUAGUAAUUCUAAGGCUAAUACUUGCAAAAACUCAUGACCGUGAGGAAGUGAGGUAUUUAUUAGAUCCAAAAUCAAUGGGGUGAUGUAAAAGUCAUCUCUUUUAAUUGAUGAUUCAUAAUAACUAGAUGAAGCGCAAGACAAUUUAUUGU